UACGUAGGCGGGAAGUUAAGCCAGUAGUGAAAUCCCACAGCUUAACUGUGGAACUGUUAUUGAUACUGGUUUUCUUGAAUAUAGUUGAGGUAGGCGGAAUGUGUAAUGUAGCGGUGAAAUGCUUAGAUAUUACACAGAACACCGAUUGCGAAGGCAGCUUACUAAGCUAUGAUUGACGCUGAGGUACGAAAGCGUGGGGAGCGAACAGGAUUAGAUACCCUGGUAGUCC
rnacentral:rRNA from 1 species